GAGAGAGGGAGAGGAGACUCAGCUUCAUUACAACUUCCUGCCAGCCCGGCCCGGCCCGGGUGUCCAUUCAUUACUCAGAGCAACUAGGACAGUAUGAAAUGUACUGCAAGCCCAACUGUAAGCUCCGUUCGUCAAGAAUAAAGAUAUUUCCGAACAAAAAAGUGACAGUUAUCUUCAGCUGUGUCCAAUGAGAUUUGAAAAUGCAAGUCACAUGGGUAUAAUGAAGAUUGCAUCUUGUGAAUUUAGCUUUGUGUAGCUUGUAAGCAGAAAAGAAAGGGGCUUUAUAAAAGGUCUAGCCUCCAGCUGUGUAGCACUCCCUUGCACUGUACAUCAGCCUGUGGCUUUAAGGAUGAUCUCACGCCAGGCAGAGGAGGGCGAGGCUGCCUUGUUUCACGACUCCAGACUGUUUGGCCUCAAUCCCAAGUUUAAAUAUUUUAACGUCUUGGCCAAUGCGGAAAAAAGAAAUAAUGGCUGGGUUCUUAACCCUUUGUUGUGGAAUCUAAUCUCUUCUAAUGUAAUCUGUUCAGUGAGCUUUUUUUGUAGUCAAUACUACCCUUAUAUAGAUCUGGGUUCUCACUAUUUUAUUGCAAGCAUUCUGCAGAUUCAUGCUUUGAGAUAAAUCCUGUUUGAUUUUCA